AGAGCGAACGCUGGCGGCAGGCCUAACACAUGCAAGUCGAACGGAUCCUUCGGGAUUAGUGGCAGACGGGUGAGUAACACGUGGGAACGUGCCUUUUGGUUCGGAACAACUCAGGGAAACUUGAGCUAAUACCGGAUAAGCCCUUCGGGGGAAAGAUUUAUCGCCAUUAGAGCGGCCCGCGUCUGAUUAGCUAGUUGGUGAGGUAAAGGCUCACCAAGGCUUCGAUCAGUAGCUGGUCCGAGAGGAUGAUCAGCCACACUGGGACUGAGACACGGCCCAGACUCCUACGGGAGGCAGCAGUGGGGAAUCUUGCGCAAUGGGCGAAAGCCUGACGCAGCCAUGCCGCGUGAAUGAUGAAGGUCUUAGGAUUAGUAAAAUUCUUUCACCGGGAAGAUAAUGACGGUACCGGAGAAGAAGCCCCGGCUACUUCGUGCCAGCAGCCGC
rnacentral:rRNA from 1 species